ACAGUCUUCCGAGUACCUCGCCCUGGCCCCUGGCCAUUGCGCCCUUGUCCUCAGUAAGCGUUCCCGUUCCCGCAUCCUCAUCGCCCCCUGGCGUCUAGGUUAAGCAACUUCAGGCAGGAGACAGCGGGCGCGCCGCUGGUUCUUCCGUGGAGCCAGGCUUUUGGUGGCCAAAGAUCUCUUCGUCGUCUGACUUCUUUUCUUCCUCUCUUUCUCUCUCUCCCUCUGUCAAUCCCAAUUUUAAAAAAGCGAAUGUAAUUAGCAGCUCUUGUACAGCUCGAUCAGAUUUUAUUAUUGCUAUCUUUGUCUUGGUUUCUUUUUGUUGCCGAACAGAAUUUCAUUAAAUGUACAUACCACAAUUUGCUUUGUCAAUUCCCCAGCUGGUGAACAUUUAUGCCGAGUUACUAGUUACUGCGAGUAAAGGGUACGGUAUUCUAGAUUGUCUCAAGAGUAGUGUGGGGGUAUGGAGGGGCUGUAGAUAGCGAGACCGUUGAGUAAGGGCGAGCUGUUUCUGAAUGGAUUGGUUCUGUCAGCCAUGUGCUCUCGUGUUCCCAUUUCUACUGUCUUAUGCAGUCAUCUCUGAAACACAAGUGGUCCCUUCUUCCCAUGGGCCGAUGCAGAGGGGAGCAUCAUUAGGUUAGGAAGAGGGCUACUAAAGGCUGCGUUAGAAGAGCUUGGGCUAUAAGUGGUCCCAUAGAGAUAAGGGAAAGUUCGAGUGUUUCGGGAAAUCUCUCUCGGCGAGCUAGCAUUGAAUUUUUGUAUUGAACUAGAAGGCCCUUGCCUGGCACUCUGGAGAAGGAAAAGAAUGACAGGCAGGUACGGGAAGCUUCAGAGGGCAAAACAGAAAAAAAAGGUUGAAGCUUUGUGGAAUAGCCUGGAACGAAAAAAAAAAGACUAGCGUGUGAAGAGUGCUUGAGAUUUUAGGCACUUGCUGUGAUUCGCCACUAGAUGGCAGGCUAGCUCUGUUUUGAGGGUAGGAAAAGCCACACAACCCAUUGUCCUUUGAGAAAAGCUGUGUUCCUCCAUGGCUGGGCUUUCCCUCUCUCAGAUACCAGGGUUGGGGAUAAAAUGUGUCCACUACUUGAAGCCGGACUUACAGGGAUCUUCCAGGAGCAGCUGGAGCCAGGGCGAUGGCAGUGGUCACCCAACAGACCAGGUGCUUUGCAAGUACUUUGAAUGGGGUCUGAAGCGGACCCUUCAGUGUCCAUUUUUCUCUCACUGUGCACAAAGUCAAAGCAAAGGGAGGGGAAGACUCUGGAAUAUUUAAAUCCUAGCAGGGCAAGAUGGCUGCCUCAGCCGCGAAGACACCAGACUGUGGCAAGACUCUUGAGACUCACUUCAUGAUUCCAGAUUCCAUAGAAAAUUCUUUCUAAUAAAGGCACAGUUUAACACU
rnacentral:lncRNA from 1 species